rnacentral:rRNA from 1 species
AGCGAACGCUGGCGGCAGGCCUAACACAUGCAAGUCGAACGAACCUUUCGGGGUUAGUGGCGGACGGGUGAGUAACACGUGGGAACGUGCCUUUAGGUUCGGAAUAACUCAGGGAAACUUGUGCUAAUACCGAAUGUGCCCUUCGGGGGAAAGAUUUAUCGCCUUUAGAGCGGCCCGCGUCUGAUUAGCUAGUUGGUUGAGGUAAUGGCUCACCAAGGCGACGACCAGUAGCUGGUCUGAGAGGAUGAUCAGCCACAUUGGGACUGAGACACGGCCCAAACUCCUACGGGAGGCAGCAGUGGGGAAUCUUGCGCAAUGGGCGAAAGCCUGAUGCAGCCAUGCCGCGUGAAUGAUGAAGGUCUUAGGAUUGUAAAAUUCUUUCACCGGGGACGAUAAUGACGGUACCCGGAGAAGAAGCCCCGGCUAACUUCGUG